GACGAACGCUGGCGGCGUGCCUAAUACAUGCAAGUCGAACGAAGCUGUUUUAACUGGUGCUUGCACCGACUUAAACAACUGAGUGGCGAACGGGUGAGUAACACGUGGGUAACCUGCCCCAAAGCGGGGGAUAACAUUUGGAAACAGAUGCUAAUACCGCAUAACCACAGAAACCACAUGGUUUCUGUGUCAAAGAUGGUUUCGGCUAUCACUUUGGGAUGGACCCGCGGCGUAUUAGCUAGUUGGUACGGUAAUGGCUUACCAAGGCAAUGAUGCGGAGCCGAACGGAGAGGGUGAUCGGCCACAUUGGGACUGAGACACGGCCCAAACUCCGACGGGAGGCAGCAGUAGGGAAUCUUCCACAAUGGACGAAAGUCUGAUGGAGCAACGCCGCGUGAGUGAAGAGGGUUUUCGGAUCGUAAAACUCUGUUGUCAGAGAAGAACGUGUGCGAGAGUAACUGCUCGUGCAGUGACGGUAUCUGGCCAGAAAGCCACGGCUAACUACGUGCCAGCCGCCGCAGUAA
rnacentral:rRNA from 1 species